rnacentral:rRNA from 1 species
AACGAACGCUGGCGGCAUGCCUAACACAUGCAAGUCGAACGAGACCUUCGGGUCUAGUGGCGCACGGGUGCGUAACGCGUGGGAACCUGCCCUUAGGUUCGGAAUAACUCCCCGAAAGGGGUGCUAAUACCGGAUAAUGUCUUCGGACCAAAGAUUUAUCGCCUUUGGAUGGGCCCGCGUUGGAUUAGCUAGUUGGUAGGGUAAAAGCCUACCAAGGCGACGAUCCAUAGCUGGUCUGAGAGGAUGAACAGCCACACUGGGACUGAGACACGGCCCAGACUCCUACGCGAGGGAGGAGUGGUGAAUAAUGGACAAUAGGCGAAAGCCUGAUCCAGCAAUGCCGCGUGAGUGAUGAAGGCCUUAGGGUUGUAAAGCUCUUUUACCCGGGAUGAUAAUGACAGUACCGGGAGAAUCAGCUCCGGCUAACUCCGUG